rnacentral:lncRNA from 1 species
GGCCUCUUUCAUCGUCUGACAGAACCCAAAAGUUGUGGGAAGAUCAUCAGUUGCUGUCCUGGACAAGAAAAACACCUUUCUCAUAAAAAUAGAACUGGUCUUUUCUUCUUGUACCCUGAAAUUAGAUUGACCACUGAGAUUGACUGUUCAUUUGGCUGAACACACCUUCAAGCAGGCAUAGCAUACCAACAUAAUAGCUCUUCAUCCCACCUAAUUCUUCAAAGAAGAGAUUCAUCAUUUCCUGAACAUUCAGUGCUAGAGUGAGCAUUGGACAGCUGCCCAGAGGUAAUGUCUGCAACUCUGUCUGCAGAGAAGCAUCUUUAAAAACAAAGCUAUUUAGUGUUGUGAAAUAUUUCUAAGAGGUUGUUUGUUUUUCUGAUUUUUUUUUUUUUUUUUUUACAUGAAUCACUGGAGACCAAUCAGAUAACAGAAGAGAGAGCCUUUUCAUCUCUGGAAAACUCUUCAAAGAG